rnacentral:rRNA from 1 species
UACGGAGGGGACUAGCGUUUUUCGGAAUUACUGGGCGUAAAGCGCGCGUAGGCGGAUUUGUAAGUCGGGGGUGAAAUCCCGGGGCUCAACCUCGGAACUGCCUUCGAUACUGCAAAUCUCGAGUCCGGAAGAGGUGAGUGGAAUUCCUAGUGUAGAGGUGAAAUUCGUAGAUAUUAGGAAGAACACCAGUGGCGAAGGCGGCUCACUGGUCCGGUACUGACGCUGAGGCGCGAAAGCGUGGGGAGCAAACAGG